UCUAACCUGCCCACUGAAAAAUUUUAAAUGGCUGCAGUAAUUUGACUGUACAAAGGUAGCAUAAUCAUUAGUUUUUUAAUUAAAAGCUUGUAUGAAAGGUUGGACGAGGUAAAAUCUGUCUCUUUUUAAUAUAAUUAGAAUUUAAUUUUUAAGUAAAAAAGCUUAAAUUUUUAUAAAAGACGAGAAGACCCUAUAGAGUUUAAUAAUUAAAAUAAGAUAAUUAAUUUAGAUUUAUUAAUUUUAUUUUAUUUAAAUUAUUUUAUUGGGGUAAUAAAAAGAUUUAGGAAAUUCUUUUUUUUAAAACCAUUAAUUUAUGAUUAUAUGAUCCAUUAAUAAUGAUUAUAAGAUUAAAUUACCUUAGGGAUAACAGCGUAAUUUUUUUAAAGAGUUCUUAUCGAUAAAAAAGUUUGCGACCUCGAUGUUGGAUUAAAGAUUAAUUUAGGUGUAGAAGUUUAAAUAUUUGGUCUGUUCGACCAUUGAAUCUUUACAUGAUCUGAGUUCAAACCGGUGUAAGCCAGGUUGGUUUCUAUCUUUAUUUUUUUUUUAUAUUUUAGUACGAAAGGACCAAAUAUAAAAUAUAUUAAUAUUUAAUUUUUGAAUAUUAUU
rnacentral:rRNA from 1 species